GACGAACGCUGGCGGCGUGCUUAACACAUGCAAGUCGAACGAUGAAGCCGGAGCUUGCUCCGGUGAAUUAGUGGCGAACGGGUGAGUAACACGUGAGCAAUCUGCCCUUGACUCUGGGAUAACUGCGGGAAACUGUAGCUAAUACCGGAUACGACACCUUGGGGCAUCCCAGGGUGUGGAAAGAAUUUCGGUCAAGGAUGAGCUCGCGGCCUAUCAGCUAGUUGGUGAGGUAAUGGCUCACCAAGGCGACGACGGGUAGCCGGCCUGAGAGGGUGACCGGCCACACUGGAACUGAGACACGGUCCAGACUCCUACGGGAGGCAGCAGUGGGGAAUAUUGCACAAUGGGCGAAAACCUGAUGCAGCAACGCCGCGUGAGGGAUGAAGGCCUUCGGGUUGUAAACCUCUUUUAGCAGGGAAGAAGCGAAAGUGACGGUACCUGCAGAAAAAGCACCGGCUAACUACGUGCCAGCAGCCGCGGUAA
rnacentral:rRNA from 1 species